ACAGCAGUCGCCGCGGUAAUACAGAGGGUGCGAGCGUUAAUCGGAUUUACUGGGCGUAAAGCGUGCGUAGGCGGCUUCUUAAGUCGGAUGUGAAAUCCCUGAGCUUAACUUAGGAAUUGCAUUCGAUACUGGGAAGCUAGAGUAUGGGAGAGGAUGGUAGAAUUCCAGGUGUAGCGGUGAAAUGCGUAGAGAUCUGGAGGAAUACCGAUGGCGAAGGCAGCCAUCUGGCCUAAUACUGACGCUGAGGUACGAAAGCAUGGGGAGCAAACAGGAUUAGAUACCCGUGUAGUCCCUGUCUCUUAUAA
rnacentral:rRNA from 1 species